UGAACGCUAGCUACAGGCUUAACACAUGCAAGUCGAGGGGCAGCAUGGUCUUAGCUUGCUAAGGCCGAUGGCGACCGGCGCACGGGUGAGUAACACGUAUCCAACCUGCCGUCUACUCUUGGACAGCCUUCUGAAAGGAAGAUUAAUACAAGAUGGCAUCAUGAGUCCGCAUGUUCACAUGAUUAAAGGUAUUCCGGUAGACGAUGGGGAUGCGUUCCAUUAGAUAGUAGGCGGGGUAACGGCCCACCUAGUCUUCGAUGGAUAGGGGUUCUGAGAGGAAGGUCCCCCACAUUGGAACUGAGACACGGUCCAAACUCCUACGGGAGGCAGCAGUGAGGAAUAUUGGUCAAUGGGCGAGAGCCUGAACCAGCCAAGUAGCGUGAAGGAUGACUGCCCUAUGGGUUGUAAACUUCUUUUAUAAAGGAAUAAAGUCGGGUAUGCAUACCCGUUUGCAUGUACUUUAUGAAUAAGGAUCGGCUAACUCCGUGCCAGCAGCCGCGGUAAUACGGAGGAUCCGAGCGUUAUCCGGAUUUAUUGGGUUUAAAGGGAGCGUAGAUGGAUGUUUAAGUCAGUUGUGAAAGUUUGCGGCUCAACCGUAAAAUUGCAGUUGAUACUGGAUAUCUUGAGUGCAGUUGAGGCAGGCGGAAUUCGUGGUGUAGCGGUGAAAUGCUUAGAUAUCACGAAGAACUCCGAUUGCGAAGGCAGCCUGCUAAGCUGCAACUGACAUUGAGGCUCGAAAGUGUGGGUAUCAAACAGGAUUAGAUACCCUGGUAGUCCACACGGUAAACGAUGAAUACUCGCUGUUUGCGAUAUACGGCAAGCGGCCAAGCGAAAGCGUUAAGUAUUCCACCUGGGGAGUACGCCGGCAACGGUGAAACUCAAAGGAAUUGACGGGGCCCGCACAAGCGGAGGAACAUGUGGUUUAAUUCGAUGAUACGCGAGGAACCUUACCCGGGCUUAAAUUGCAGAUGAAUUACGGUGAAAGCCGUAAGCCGCAAGGCAUCUGUGAAGGUGCUGCAUGGUUGUCGUCAGCUCGUGCCGUGAGGUGUCGGCUUAAGUGCCAUAACGAGCGCAACCCUUGUUGUCAGUUACUAACAGGUUCCGCUGAGGACUCUGACAAGACUGCCAUCGUAAGAUGUGAGGAAGGUGGGGAUGACGUCAAAUCAGCACGGCCCUUACGUCCGGGGCUACACACGUGUUACAAUGGGGGGUACAGAGGGCCGCUACCACGCGAGUGGAUGCCAAUCCCCAAAACCUCUCUCAGUUCGGACUGGAGUCUGCAACCCGACUCCACGAAGCUGGAUUCGCUAGUAAUCGCGCAUCAGCCACGGCGCGGUGAAUACGUUCCCGGGCCUUGUACACACCGCCCGUCAAGCCAUGGGAGCCGGGGGUACCUGAAGUGCGUAACCGCGAGGAGCGCCCUAGGGUAAAACUGGUGACUGGGGCUAAG
rnacentral:rRNA from 1 species